UACGAAGGAUCCUAGCGUUGUCCGGAUUUACUGGGUUUAAAGGGAGCGUAGGCGGACUUUUAAGUCAGUGGUGAAGCCUGCAGCUUAACUGUAGAAUUGCCAUUGAAACUGAUUGUCUCGAGUGCGGUUGAGGUCACUGGAAUGUAUCAUGUAGCGGUAAAAUGCUUAGAUAUGAUACAGAACACCAAUUGCGAAGGCAGGUGACUAAACCGUAACUGACGCUGAGGCUCGAAAGCGUGGGGAUCAAACAGG
rnacentral:rRNA from 1 species